rnacentral:rRNA from 1 species
AGCAGUAGCCGCGGUAAUACGAAGGGGGCUAGCGUUGUUCGGAUUUACUGGGCGUAAAGCGCACGUAGGCGGACUUUUAAGUCAGGGGUGAAAUCCCGGGGCUCAACCCCGGAACUGCCUUUGAUACUGGGAGUCUUGAGUUCGAGAGAGGUGAGUGGAAUUGCGAGUGUAGAGGUGAAAUUCGUAGAUAUUCGCAGGAACACCAGUGGCGAAGGCGGCCCACUGGCUCGAUACUGACGCUGAGGUGCGAAAGCGUGGGGAGCAAACAGGAUUAGAUACCCCGGUAGUCCCUGUCUCUUAUAC